rnacentral:rRNA from 1 species
UACGUAGGGGGCGAGCGUUGUCCGGAUUUAUUGGGCGUAAAGAGCUCGUAGGCGGUUUGUCGCGUCUGCUGUGAAAUCCGGAGGCUCAACCUCCGGCCUGCAGUGGGUACGGGCAGACUAGAGUGCGGUAGGGGAGAUUGGAAUUCCUGGUGUAGCGGUGGAAUGCGCAGAUAUCAGGAGGAACACCAAUGGCGAAGGCAGAUCUCUGGGCCGUAACUGACGCUGAGGAGCGAAAGCAUGGGGAGCGAACAGG